rnacentral:rRNA from 1 species
UAAUACGGGGGGAGCGAGCGUUGUCCGGAAUCAUUGGGCGUAAAGGGCGCGUAGGCGGAACUGUCAGUCAGAUGUGAAAUGUCCCGGCUUAACCGGGAAGUUGCAUUUGAAACAGCAGUUCUAGAGUUUCGUAGGGGAUGAUGGAAUUCCUGGUGUAGCGGUGAAAUGCGUAGAUAUCAGGAAGAACACCGGUGGCGAAGGCGGUCAUCUGGGCGAAUACUGACGCUGAUGCGCGAAAGCGUGGGUAGCAAACAGGAUUAGAUACCCUGGUAGUCCACGCCGUAAACGUUGGGCACUAGACGUUGUAUCCGAUCGGAUGCAGUGUCGCAGCUAACGCAUUAAGUGCCCCGCCUGGGGAGUACGAUCGCAAGGUUG